CGGGGCCGGAACACUGUCUGA
rnacentral:miRNA from 17 species